rnacentral:rRNA from 1 species
CCUACGGGGGGCAGCAGUGGGGAAUAUUGGACAAUGGGGGGAACCCUGAUCCAGCCAUGCCGCGUGUGUGAAGAAGGCCCUCGGGUUGUAAAGCACUUUCAGUGAGGAAGAACGCCUGGUGGUUAAUACCCAUCAGGAAAGACAUCACUCACAGAAGAAGCACCGGCUAACUCCGUGCCAGCAGCCGCGGUAAUACGGAGGGUGCGAGCGUUAAUCGGAAUUACUGGGCGUAAAGCGCGCGUAGGUGGCUUGAUAAGCCGGUUGUGAAAGCCCCGGGCUCAACCUGGGAACGGCAUCCGGAACUGUCAAGCUAGAGUGCAGGAGAGGAAGGUGGAAUUCCCGGUGUAGCGGUGAAAUGCGUAGAGAUCGGGAGGAAUACCAGUGGCGAAGGCGGCCUUCUGGACUGACACUGACACUGAGGUGCGAAAGCGUGGGUAGCAAACAGGAUUAGAUACCCUGGUAGUC